rnacentral:rRNA from 1 species
GACAGAGGGUGCAAACGUUGUUCGGAAUUACUGGGCGUAAAGCGCGUGUAGGCUGUCGUGCAAGUCGGGUGUGAAAGCCCGGGGCUCAACCCCGGAAGUGCACUCGAAACUGCACGACUGGAGUCUCGGAGAGGGAGGCGGAAUUCUGGGUGUAGAGGUGAAAUUCGUAGAUAUCCAGAGGAACACCGGUGGCGAAGGCGGCCUCCUGGACGAUGACUGACGCUGAGACGCG